UAUUGCAUUUUUCUGCACGGAAUACUGGCUGGAUUGCAGCGUGACCCAGCGAAGCUGCGUCAAGUUAGAGAGAGUGACGAGACGACUUCCGUUUUGACGGCGUUUCAAAAUAAGAGGCACAAAGUGUAUGUCGUCAUUGGUCACGUGCUUCUGGGAGGAGCUGUUCAGAGAGGAGAGACAGAUAUGAACCAUGUUUGUAGCAUUACCUCUGUUUGCCAGUACUGCUAGGUCCGGAUGCUUAAACUUUUUUUCAAACACGGGUGAGAUGCUAAAACAAAUUCUGGAGCUGUUUUUGUCGAACACGGGUGAGAUUGAACGGUUCAGAUGCUGCAGCCUGGACACAAACACCAGCUCCCACCUUAAAAAGCAAACAGAGGCCUGGACUACGAAGGGAGUUUAAGCCACUCUGAUUUAACGCGGGUUAUCAAGGAACGUCGGGGUUGACAGACGUCGGCUGCCUCGAUCUGCGUUAACUACGGCGACGGUGAAGAUGUCAGUAAGUUGAGUCAGUGUCGACUCAAUUCUCCGAUGAAGAGCGCACGUUAAUUCUGUGGGUUUACGAGGAAUUUAAAGAGACUCUUAACGACACAAUGUAAAACCGCAGCUGUCAACAAAGCCAGGGAGACUGGUCACACGUUCUCUGGAUUCUUAAUCUGUAAUAUGAGCUGUAAGGACACAGAAAAUAGAGAAGAGACAGACAUGAAGAUGUUUCCAGAAGGUUUACUGGUUCAGCUGCUGCAGCCUGGACACAAACACCAGCUCCCACCUUAAAAACCAAACAGAGGCCUGGACUACGAAGGGAGUUUAACCCACUGUGAUUUAACUCGGGUUAUCAAGGAACAUCGGGGUUGACAGACGUCGGCUGCCUCGAUCUGCGUUAACUACGGCGACGGUGAAGAUGUCAGUGUCUCCACUUCACGUCCACGAUCAGAGAAUCUUUGAACAAUGAAGGAAUUGUUUAGACCAGGACAGAGGCCUCCAGAAUUCAAACUUCAACCAUUCAAUCACAGAGAGAAGAGACAGACAUGAAGAUGUUUCCAGAAGGUCUCUGAAACGCCACCAGUGCUGUCGCAUAUCUCCUAACGCCAGGGAGUCAAGAGCGCUCGGACAGGCGUUCACACUUUGUCUGCUUCAGAAUCACUUCUGUGUCCGACUGACCCUCCUCCCACUGAAAUCAACACGACUCAACUCUACUGUGACAUUGAGUAUUUUUAAGUGUUUAUGAUUGUUUGUUAUGCUUUACUGUAUUAUGACAUUUUUGAAUGUUGUUCAUGCCUUGAGUGUUUUUGACAGUUUUCCAUGUUUUACUGUUUGCCUUGUUGUACUGACAUUUGUUCACUGUUUUGUAUGUCUUUUUAUUGUGUGACAAUAAAUUGUGUGUGUGUAUUGUGUUUCCUGUUAGGAAGAGAUAGCAGAGGAAUGAGAGUAAAGGGAUGGGACACGCUUUGGCCCAGCCCUUUACUCAGAUAGGACAGUGUAGAUGAGCAUGGGAAUAACAUGCAAUAAACACUUAGCUGGGGCACAUGAGCCUAUAUGGGCGCCCCGUUUUUUUUUUUAUUUUAUUUUUUUCUGUUUUUUUUCCCAUUGACAUUUUUUUAAUUUUUCCAUUCAAAUUUUUGACAUUUUUCUUUUUUCAAUGUAACACUUAAGAAUAAAACUUUUCC